UCACUAAACAAAUUUGUGUUAAUAAUACUAAAAUUUCUAAUUAAAUUUCUAAUUAAAAUUUUUGUAUUAAUUAAAGAACUAAAACAACUAAAGUUCAGUAUACAAAAGAAAAUAAAAACUCUGAAGUCGGGGCAGAAAACCGUUAAUUCUGACCAAAUUAAAUGCACUGGUUUUACACCUUCACAAAGUGUUCUUAACUAAAAAAAAUUUUUUAUUUAGAAUUAAAAUAUUUGGUAUAGACUGAUUGGUAUUACUAUUUUUAUUUGAGCCAAGUAAAUGUAUUAUUUAUUGAGAAAGCCAAAUACACGCUUUUUCAUUGAGACCGAUACAAUAAAUUUUUGAAGUAAAAAUUUCGUUACUUUUUAACAUUUUAUUUAUUUCUAAUAACAUAAAUUUUUAUUAAUACAAACUCUCAAACAAAAUAGCCCAAUUACAAUUUUUGGUUUUAUUCAAAUGGACCUUUCAGUGCAGUGCAUUUUAAAUUAAACAGCACAAUAAAGUUUCUUUCUAGACUUAAAAACAUCUAUUUUUAGUUCUCUUGAACUUCCAUUAUAUUUCCCAUUUAAACAUGUUUCCGAAUUUACACUUUAGCCUUUGCGAAUUUACAAACAGCAUUGGAUUUAACGACUCGUUCCACUUCUUUGCGUUCAAUUUAAUUUUUCAAGUUCUUGUAAUUCCGCUUUUGUUGAUCGCAACAUCAAGUAGCACGAACAUCGGUACACAUGCCUGCACAUAUUGUAAUUCCCCGCGCGACUCAACCGCGCGCCGAUGCAACGCCCGCGACGAUGCGUGCACAUGCACCACGCACUCUAUUUCCGUCCCGGAGAAUUCGAGGUGAAACUCCUUACUAUCGAAACGCGUCCGCGCAUCUUCGGCAUUUACGGUGCUUUAUUAAUGUGAGAGCCGGCACGUAUGUAUUCCCAGCUGCGGGAAUGCAACGAGUGGCGUAAUGUCUCUCGUUAUGUGCCUUUUCGUUGCGAACGUUUGUCCCCGCCGGGCAAAUAGUAUUCUUUUUCAUGAAUUAAUUAAUUACGGUGAUAAGCGUUGGUUAAAUAAGAAAUUGAUAGACGUAACAUUGUAUAUCGCGCUAAUGAGAUCCCGCAAUGGCGAUAACGAUCGAAUGCACAAGGAUUGCAUCAAUAUAUCAUUUGCAAUUAGAGCACAAAUAAUUUUGAAAAUAUGAGAAAAUUGAUUUCAAAGAGUUAAAUAUAUUUAGAUUUAUCUAAAUUAUCUAUUAGAUAAUUAAAUCUUUCUAAAUCAAUUUGAAUUAUUCAAUAAUAAUUAAUUUAUAAUAUACAAACUAUAAGUCGAGUUGUUAACUACACGUUCUUUCAUUAACAUUAAUUAAGAUGUAGUUUUUUUAAAAGAUUGUUACACGUUAUUGUAAGAAUUCUUGGCUUCUGCAUCUAUCUGCAAUUAAUUGAUGCUGAUUUAAUAGGAAGACUACGCACUAAGUUCUGGAGAAAGUUCACGUUUUGUAUGAGCACAAGGGCUGAUUGUAUUCGAUUGGCUUAUCUAAAGUGAUUCACGUAGCUGAGUCACACACGUGCGAGGAAGUAGACGAAUCUUGAAGAGACUCAUUCGGAUAUGUCUGUAAAGUUGGCAUAACGUUUUCUGUAUAGUAAUUGAAAAAAAAUGACAAUAGCACUGUACUAUUUUUUAUAUUAAAUACAUUUUUAAAAAUUUCGCAAUUUAAUAAAAAAACUAAAAAUAGAAAUAAAUAUUUUGUGCAAUUUUAUGUUUCGACAUAUUUUCCUCGAUUGUAAAAAAAGAAAUUAAAAAUUAUAAUAUUUCAAAAAUUUUCGUUCUAAGUUAACUUUAUUAUUAGCUAAUUAUAUACAUUUUUAAUACAAAAUUUCAACAAUUAAUAAUUUUAUGUUACGCACAACACUCAGCAGAAAAGGAUAGCGCUGACAAUUUUCGAUACAAUUGGUAAUAAUUCUGAUUUAGUUCGAAUUUCGUACAAAUAAAUCAUUUUUUAAAUAUUUCAUUUUAUAAACAUUUUUUAAAAUAAUUUUCACUGUUGUCAGUACGACGGUCGGUGGAAAAGUGUCGUGCUAAUUAUUUCUGACAUUUUUCCGCGUGAAAACUGCUUUACUGCAUAAGCACGUUAAGUUUUAUACUGCAAAAAUUUCCAACGGAUUUACCGAAGAAAUAAUGUAUCCAACUGUUAAUUUUGUUACCACUUUAUCGGUAAAUAUAUUAUCCGAUUGUAAUUAUCCGACAAAAAAUAGACAUGCUCGAGUUCUCAUUAGAUAAUCUGUUUGUUGCUAUAACAUAUUGGAUUAUUCGAUUAAAUAUCAACGGCUAUUUUUCUCAGUAUAAUUUAAAAUGUUUCCUUUAACUAACAAAGACUGCAUCAAAAGAACAUGAUAGUUUUUAUAGAGUUUUAGUUCAAGAUUUCAAAAAAAAUGUUAAACUUGAAAAAAGUGACAUUCUUUAAUUAAAAAAAACUAAUUAUUAUCCAUGCGCAUACCUGGUGGAAAAAGGGUUCUUGAAAAGGUGUCAUUGGCAUUAGAAAAUAAUUUUUAGCCACAUGUACGUACAUGAAUAAAAUAUCUCUAAGCGUUUUCUAGAUCUUUGAAAUUUUCAUAUUUUGUGAAAAACAAAGCACUUUUUAGAAUAUAACUUCAAAGGACUUUUUUCAUAAAAUAAACCAAGAAAUAUUUAAUAAAAAAUUAUUUGUAUUUAUUUAGGAAUCACUCUGUAUAUUACACAGAUUUAUUAAUUACAAAUGCAUAAAAAAAACUAAAAAUACACAAAAAAUUGCAAAAAUACUGGUAUCUCAUACGGGAUAUUAUGCAGCGGAAGAUUAAGAAGCAAGGAUUUCAAAUCACACAUUUUCCUUCUCGCUUUAUUUCAGCCUUGGUAUAUCGCGAUCUAUGUGCUUAAUUAUAUAACAAAAGCGAAGAGCGUAUUGUCCGUAACGUAAAAGGAAUCCUAUCUCUUGGUCAACGACGCUCAGGAAACCGUAUUGCUCAUUAGCAUCCGUUCGCCAUGCGACGUACAUAUACGAUCGUACAUGUAUAAUACAUACAUACGUACCGCCCAUAUCCGACUUACAUAAUGUCUCUCUUCAUGUUUAUAAAUAUCUACAAGCACAGUAGAAAAUGUGGAAAGUCGCGUACAUGCAAUGUACGGGUACACGGGCGAUAAUUAUACCUUUCGCGUUACCGCUGAUUGCUUCGUUUUGUUCGAUCGUUAUUGGACCUCAAGGCUAAUUCGCCACGCAUUAUUUUCACAGCAUCGAGAUAGCAUCGUGUCGCAAACGUUGCAUGCACGAUUACUUUUGCACACUUCGUAGAUUAAUGCAUCUUCUAGAUUGUAGAUUAAGAAUUUUAUUAGUUAUCUGGAUUUUUUAGAAUUGCAGGCUAGUCGAACGGAGAAGAAACAAUGCUGAUGAGCAACGAAGCUCGAAGAUUGCAAAUUGGCUGUGUAGACCAUCGGUUCAAUUAUAGUCGGAGGAUUGUAUAACGCUUCUCGAGUUCAAGGGAAGAGAGAAUCACGCGUGGAACGGCAGGCUAUUUCCUAAGGGCGGAAAGUUCCGAAACAGCAUGACAUUCCUCAUCGGGCGUAACAGUUCCCUUCAGGGGAAUCAUCGUCGCUUGCUCGACAGAAAGACUAUGAAAGUGACUACAGGGCACUGGGAAAAGAUGCCCUACAGAUAGAGAAGAGAACUUCAACCCUUUCGAAGGAAAGAAAGGAGAAGGGAGAGAAUGGAAGAAACUAUUUUCUCCUCUCUCGGAAUUUCAGAAGACGAAUGCAAACCGCCUACCGCCAUACGGCAGAUCAACGGGGGGUCUCGCAGAGAAAGGAAAGUUUCCUAGAUGCGGAUGCUGCGGAUCCUCGCGCCCAAUACCGCCGUACAUGUUUCUUAUAUAACGUAGAGAACCGUUUGCGCCGCCGGAAUCGAUUGGAGCGGGCUAGGGCUAGUUAUAUACGAUAAGCGCGAGCAAUUUCGCCUUCGUGAGUCAUGUACCGGUCGCAAUGGUAAUGUGGAAGGAAGGGCGUAUACGUAUAAUGCCACGCUCCACGACGCAAUUCAUCCGUAGGCCGUAAUAAGCCUUCUUCUUCUUCACAUCUCCCCCUUCCCUUCCUUUUCUCUCUGUACAAUGACGAACACACAAGUGUUCUCGUAGCCAAGUUCUUAUUUUUAUCUUGGUAACAAGGAAAGUUGAUCGGCGAUUAGGCGAGUGCCUAAGUGAUUCGCGAAAUACCUCUUGUUUUGAUACCACAUCAAUUCUAGAUCGUUUUAAUUACGUGAAAAACGCUAUGGCAGCGGCGUAUAGCGUUCAUCUUUAAUUGUGAAUAAUCAGUGCUUUUCGUGAUAAAUAUCAGUGAAAAAGUUAGAACAAAAAAGUUUGUUUGAACACUUAUGUGAGCGUUACUUCUAUUAUUUAUUCGUAAUGCGAAAUGUUAAAAUGUUGUAAAGGAGAAAGUUACAGUAGACUAUAAAGAAUUAGUUUUGAUUGUCGCCAUCAAAGGGCAAAGCUAAAGAAGACAUUGUAGUAUCCCAUAACUUCCUUCGCUAUUCCAUAUAUUUCUCUAAACCUUUUUUUAAUUUUUUGUUAAUUCUGUUCUAUUAUCCAAAAAGUCUUCUAGUUGUAGUAUAAUAGGUAUCAAUUACAUUAAAAAAUAUAUUUAGCUAAAUUUUUAGUUAUUUCUAAAAAGAUUUAUUCUCCUGUGCCCUAUCAAUAUUCAUAAAAAUAAAAUUAUAAUUAAUAGUAAUAACAUUUAAGUAAUUAUUUAAAUGCUAAAUUUGUAUUAAAGGGGACCGAUUUAUUUAUAUUUUAAUUGCUGGUUUUUUUAAUUUAUGGUCACACCCUCAUUAUAAUAAUUUACUAUAGCGCUUAGCAGUUGCUUACAGUGUCAAUGUUUGUCUCUACUGCUAACAAGCAGAGUAAUGCUGCUCAGCGUUAAUGAUCCCACCUCCACGGGUUGAUUAGUUGCAAUAGUUACAUCCUAUUUAGUUACAUAAGGUAAGAUAAGAGCCCUUAAGUAGGAAGUAUGACGCGUUCGAGUAUAAUUACAAAGAGUGUUUUCUCUUAACUAAAAUUAAUGAAUUUAAUAAGAGCUUAGUAACUUGCAAUCUAAAAAUUCGUGACUCGUUAAAAAGUGGCUAAACUUUCUUAGAGAGAAGUAAAAUAUUGAAAAUAUAAAAUAUUGUAGUUGCGUCAAUAAAAAAAAU